ACUCCCCAACAAUGGGCAAAGAGACACUUUGUUGGUGGUGGUCUUCUUAUAUCAGCCAGGCACAGAGCAGAUGUCAGUCUUCUGUUCUCCUAGCUUGAUGCCUGGCUUUGUUGCCAAAGCUGUUUUAUGUCUAGGACUCAUAA
rfam:Mus musculus chromosome 5, GRC primary reference assembly.